AUAGGCUACACGGGGUGUUGUUGUAAUGGGAAAAAUAUUCCUUUAAUUAUUAGUGAUUUAUUUAGGAAUUUAUUCAUCAUCCUCCUCUAAUAUCUUUACACUACUGUUGUAAGAGUAAUUGGAACUGUGAAAUGUUUUUGUUGUGGACACGAGUGUGGCAGUGUAGCCAGUCCCGUUUUAUUUUUCUUUCGCUCUGAGUAUGGGAAUGCUGCCCUGAAUCUUUCGUCUGCAUUUUGGUAACACUAAAAGACACAUGUAAGGAUCACGAAUGCUUUCGUGUGAGGACGUCAACCUGUCCGCUCUUCAUUUUGGCUACUUUACCAAAUUAUUAAUACAAAUGAUUAUCUAUCCCUUGCUAGGUCAUGUCUUCAGGUAAAAGCUUGCUCUUGAACACAGAAUUUUUGAGGGCCAGUUUGUUCUCUUGAUCACUGCUUAUAACCAUCAGUUGUGAAUCAAGGAAAGAACACAUUUGAGAGUACCAUAAUAACUUCAAGGUUGAGCAGAGAGAGGGCUUUGCCUUGAGAAGGUUAAAAGGAGAAGAGAGAUUUCAAUCGGUCUUGAAAAGGCCAAGAGGAGAGAACUUCAAGUCGACAGAUGUAUAUAAACAAGGUGUCAUGUUAAAUUAAGUUAUUUCAUUGUUUAUAAAUAAAUUCGGCCUUCGGCAGGAGUAAUUGCUAACUGCCCUUUUCAUAAGAGUGCUGCGAUAACCUUCGCCCCUCCGCCUUCGUUAAUUAGUGAAUGGCCAUUAACUCUCGUUUAUUUUUUUUCUCUUUGAGUGUUUGGGUUUUAGUGAGAACCGUGGACGAGACUGCUGCUGCCUGGGACGAGGAGUUCGGACCCUACCUUGAUCUCAGACGUAGAUCCUAAUUUAGCAGCCGUUGAUGGACGCCUUUUCUUUUUCCUCAUAAGGAAUUGUGCCUUUGGAGGAUUGUUUCGCUGGUGUCUUUGAGCCACCUGCGGUAAAUUGUACACUUCUUUGGAUCACGGCCCACGUAUGCAGGGGUAUUGUCACGUGCGAUAGCCACCUCGCUUGUUACGUCCUGCAAGUGUAUGUGUCACUUGCGACCUUCGCUUUGCGUCAUUUUCCCCGCCUGAGGAUCCCGCGGGAAGACGGUGCUGUCGUUCCGUCCCGGCACUGUUGGAGGUACUAUAGCCGUGAUCAAAGAGCGUCAUCACAUCUGCUACGCUGCUCGUCUGUGGACCGAGGGUCCGUUAGGAGGAACGUAGGGAGUCAUUACCCAGGUAAAGUUACGAUCUUUUCAUUAUCGUUAUGGAUACGCCCAGCCCAUUUACCUGGUGUUAAUGAUACUCCCUCUGAUGCUGAUGAACGUUCAACCCCUCUCUGUCGUCUAUUCCAUAUAUGGAUAAGUAUUGAUACAAGUUAUCUCACGGAUAGUUAGUGCAGUGUGGAGAUAUAUAUAUAUAUGUAUCUAUAAAUUAUGAUCCUCAACAUAAUUCUUUUAUGAACAUGUAUUUAAUUAUUCAUGCAUGUGGUUUAAUGUGAUAGGCGCAUUUGUAUGCAGCAUUGUGUUAUGUUUUAUUAUUUUGUUAUUGGGUUUACUCUUUAAGAUUUGUGUGUAGGCAGGUAAUUUUAAGGUUUUCUGCCUUUUCAUUUCUCCUGACUUCCUUCUGCCAUCUAUUUAGUAAUAGGAUAAUGGUUUGUUGAUUUUUGUGGGCCCGGCUUAAUAUAUGAGCCAUACUUUUGAUCUGUUUAGUUUUUCUAUGUUAGGGUUUAGAUUAUUAGCUGUAGGUCAACCUUGGGUAUUUAGAGGACUCGGUAUAUUAGUCCUCCUAGUUAUUUUGUAGUCUGUUGGAGUUCAUCUUAGUAGCUUUAGGUUACUCCUGAUACCAGGUUGAAUUUAUUUAAGUGAAGUGUAAUAAAUGUUAGAUUUUUCCAGUGUUUUUGUUCUGUCUUCCCUCAAUUCACCGAGUUACAUAAAUAAUAUACUGCCUACGACUCCUUUAAAAAAUUAAAAUCUAAAGAACCUGAACUACGGCCUACACAGGUCGUAACAAGUGGCGACCGUGACAGGAUCGUACGCAGGUGUACUCGGUGUUUGAGGAAGCAGUUCAGCUCUGGAGGGGUGUGACAGUAUUUAUUGUUGAUAUUUGAUUUUUGGGUCUAGUUGCUUUCCUUCCCCUUAGGAUAUAAUUUUCAUUAAAAUGGAGGACUUUACUUUUGACCCGUCAGAAUUCUUGGGUUUGGCUGACUGUUUAAAAUAUCUAGGAGUUUUGACAAGGGCUUAUUUGGUACGGUGUGCCCGGUGGUUGGAGAUCCCUCAUAAGUCCUCUGUCACUUGGGCCAAUUUGUUAAAACUGGUUAAGGAAAAAGUGUCCCUAGGUUUGGCUGAGGGCAAUGAGGUAGCUAGAGGCCUAGCCAGUGAUUUUGAGAGUGGCACUGAUCUUGAGUCGGACCAAGAGGGGUCAUAGUCGAUGAUGUAAGCGUAAAUCCUGGUUUGUCCCUGUUCGCUGAUCCCCCUGCAGUAAAGGUUAUGUAUCAAGGUCCGGCCAAUUUUCCUACUCCGGCCAGGACUCUUACAAAUGUUAAUAUAUCAACUAAUCCUUUUUUAGCUGAAGAGGCUGUACCCAACCAUGUAGCACCUUCCACUCCUGUAUUGGCCCAGGGGCAGGAGGAAUUCAAUAUAAUUUGUAAGAGGAUUGAGUUAUUGAAAUUGCAGUUUGAGGAGGACGAGAGGGUCCGGAAACAUGAGAUUGAGUUGGUCAAGCUUAAGCUUGAGUUGGCCAAGGUGCAAGGGUCCCCUAAUCAUUUUAGCUCUCCCUAUAGCUCAUCAUCAGACAAAUUUAAUAUUUCAGCUGCUCUAAAGUUAGUUCCAAUUUUUGAUGAGGGGAGCGUACCAGAAUUUUUUAAAGCUUUUGAGAGAGUUGCCACCCGGUUGUCUUGGCCCACAGAAAUGUGGACGGUACUCAUACAGUGUAGAUUGAGGGGCAAGGCACUCCGGGUGUAUAAUUCAUUGGAAGAGGGUCUUGCCAGAGAUUAUGACAAA